UUUGUGGCAGGUGCUGAGCAGUACAGCUGCUACAAGGGGUAUUCAGACACCUACAAGUGGGCAGGGGACUAUCAGGACCAGACAACAAGAGACACAUGGGGCCGAAGGUGUACAGAGGUAGUAGCCAUUGACGCCCUGAAGUACAGGACUUACACAGAACAGUGUAACCCUGGUAUGGUGAAGAGAGAGCUGGAUAAGGCAUUUUGUGGUUUCUACAGAUCAGACGUGUUGCCU